UUAGCUUGAACAGAUCGGAUCUGUUCAUCGAUGAGAGCUUGUUUUGAUUGAAAAGGAAUUAUAACAGGACUCUUUUCCACCGUCGCUUGCACGGCCGGAGUUAAAGGAGGUGAUGGUUCUCGGGAAGGACCGACAGGGCUGCUAUGCUAUCUGAUAACAAUGGGGACCAACAAGCACAGCGGCCACAAAAAAAACAACUUUAAAAGAAAAGAGAUUAAUCGGUGAGAAGGAAUCUUUGGAAUCUACUCAGUCAAACAAUGUACCAACGUAAGAUAAAGAUUCUUAUUAUAUCUUGGUCCUAAAUAAUUGAGAUCUAAGCAAUCGAUAGUCGACCACAUAAAAUAAGAAUGACGCACUCUAAAUUUAAAGAUAACAUUUAAGCUAAAACUAAUUCUAAUGUUUUCAGUGGUUUAUUGUUAUAACAAGGAGAUAAUUGUGAGAUUACUUGUCUAGUUUUGUUACAAUUUAAUGAAAUUACUAAAUCUAAUAUAGACACAAGAUCCCCACUAUGUCAACCCCUAUAAAACAAAGUAGUAGUAAUCUCAGAGUUAGACGACGACGUCAUUUCAUAUUUAUUUUUAUCUGUUGUCCAUUAUAACCUUCUUUAAAAUCACAUUUCGUCGAAAAAAAUCAAAACAUAAACUUAGUGCUAAAUUAAUAUGAAACUAUUGGCUGGCUCUAACCUGAUUUCUUGCGAGACUCCACAACGGUACCAUGACAGCGUGGCAAGAACACUCCAGUUCCACCCGACCCGGCUCUCGAACCCAACCCGUCAACGAACACCGCCUUCACGGCGGACUUUGGUCUCUGUAGGUUGUGGUAGCUUCUUUCUUUGCGUCUUAAUGCAUCAUCAUUUCGUUCCUUGUCUUUCUCCUUUUUGAUCUUCUGGAACUAUAUACACAAAAUUAACAUCAUCAUUGCACCCGACGGUGGUAACAAAACUCUGUUUUCGUUACGGUUAAUUUUAAACCGUUGUAUUAUAACCGACAAUUUAAAAAAAAAAAAAGAUUCUAAGUAAUUAUCAACUGAUAAAAAUGAGCUCACGUUAGCUUGAACAGAUCGGAUCUGUUCAUCGAUGAGAGCUUGUUUUGAUUGAAAAGGAAUUAUAACAGGACUCUUUUCCACCGUCGCUUGCACGGCCGGAGUUAAAGGAGGUGAUGGUUCUCGGGAAGGACCGACAGGGCUGCUAUAACCUGAGGCGAAUGGUGACCAAAGAGUCGACUGCGGCGAGCCAGAGCCAGAGCCACCACCACAAG
rnacentral:lncRNA from 1 species